UAGGGAAUAUUGGACAAUGGGCGAAAGCCUGAUCCAGCAACGCCGCGUGUGCGAAGACGGCCUUCUGGUUGUAAAGCACUUUUAGAGGAGAUGAGAAAGGACAGUAUCCUCUGAAUAAGCCUCGGCGAACUACGUGCCAGCAGCCGCGGUAAAACGUAGGAGGCUAGCGUUAUCCGGAUUUAUUGGGCGUAAAGCGCGUGCAGGCGGUCUAUCAAGUUGGAUGAGAAAGCUCCUGGCUUAACUGGGAGAGGUCGUUCAAAACUGAUAGUCUAGAGAAUGGUAGAGGGAGGUGGAAUUCCGGGUGUAGUGGUGAAAUGCGUAGAUAUCCGGAGGAACACCAGUGGCGAAAGCGGCCUCCUGGGCCAUUUCUGACGCUAAGAUGCGAAAGCUAGGGUAGCAAACG
rnacentral:rRNA from 1 species